rfam:Folsomia candida strain VT population Fcan01_Sc064, whole genome shotgun sequence.
AUCUUUGCGCAGUGGCAGUAUCGUAAACGAUGAGGUUUUACCGAGUUGCGAUUAUUGCUAGUUGAAAACUUUAACCUUCAAUCUAAUUAUUCACUAAAGAAAAUUAAAAUCUGCAACGAAUCAGAAAUU